rnacentral:rRNA from 1 species
UGCCGCGUGUGUGAAGAAGGCCUUCGGGUUGUAAAGCACUUUUGUACGGGAAGAAAUCGCAUGGGUUAAUACCUUGUGCGGAUGACGGUACCGUAAGAAUAAGCACCGGCUAACUUCGUGCCAGCAGCCGCGGUAAUACGAAGGGUGCAAGCGUUACUCGGAAUUACUGGGCGUAAAGCGUGCGUAGGCGGUUUGUUAAGUCAGAUGUGAAAGCCCCGGGCUCAACCUGGGAAUGGCAUUUGAUACUGGCGAACUAGAGUACGGUAGAGGGUGGUGGAAUUCCCGGUGUAGCGGUGAAAUGCGUAGAGAUCGGGAGGAACAUCUGUGGCGAAGGCGGCCACCUGGACCAGUACUGACGCUGAGGCACGAAAGCGUGGGGAGCAAACAGGAUUAGAUACCCUGGUAGUCCACGCCCUAAACGAUGCGAACUGGACGUUGGGCUCAAUUGAGAGUUCAGUGUCGAAGCUAACGCGUUAAGUUCGCCGCCUGGGGAGUACGGUCGCAAGACUGAAACUCAAAGGAAUUGACGGGGGCCCGCACAAGCGGUGGAGUAUGUGGUUUAAUUCGAUGCAACGCGCAGAACCUUACCUGGCCUUGACAUCCACGGAACUUACCAGAGAUG